CGCCGCGUCGCAAGGCUGUCAUGCCAUCAGUCCAUCCGUCGGAUAUCAGGUGCCGCCGAGCGGUGAGAGGCACUCGAGAAUCCACCGAGCAGUCGCUGCCGUCGGGGUCUCACUUCGGUCGGUGUCAUUCUCCAGCCAUAUCGGCUGCACUGUCAAUUUCGUUGGACUGCCGUGGACUUCUCGGCUUAGGUUGACUUGGAAAAAUUUGCAAGGAAUCUUCCUCUUCACCUUAUCGCAGCGAUUAUGGUUUGGGAAAAGGAAAAAUCCACGUUCAAGUAUUUGCUAUGUGGAAUUCUUCGGUUGCAUUCCAUGUGUGAUCUUGCCUCCCGGGUGCCCAAAAUUGAACAGAUUGCAGUCUACAAUUGUUGACGGUCAUUGUUUCUUCACAGUACCAAGAGGUUGCUCUAGCAUUGACUGCAUAUUACAAGGUAGCAAUCCAGGAUUUGGUGUACAUAUGCAAAGAGGCAGCAUUUGCUGCGGUUUGUGUAGAUGUCAAGUAUCUGCGGACCAACGAUUCAUCUAGAAGUGUAUCCCCUACUACUGAAGAGACCUUGAAUCACCUCGGCUGCAGUGUGAUUCUUCUCUUCAAUUUCUACAGUCUCUGUGUCAGCAAAAGUUAUUUCGGGAAUGCAUUGUUAACAAACAGGUUAUUUAUAAGUCAAUUUGAGUCCCGAAUCGUUCGUGCUGCAUCAGAAGAUAAUUUAUUCCAUGAGCUUGGGAAGCGGUGGAUUGCAGGAGCAACUAGCUUCCUGUGUUGGACUCGGCCCUGAUGAAAAAAGGAGUAGCUCUACUUCUCAUCUUUGUAGUCGUCAAAAUCAUGGUCUUUGAGGAUUCUGGUAACUCUACUUCUAAUCUUUUUCAGGUGUUGUUCGAGCCCGUAUAUACUCAACUUGGGAUGCUUCCUACUUAUACAUGAGUGCCUAGCUGCUAUUUAUUUUCAUUCAUGCCUGAUAUGUUGAUUUUUAUAGAGAAUUUAAAUGUUAAUUGACAUGUUAUGAUUAAGAGUAAAUUUCCGAGAGGUUGUCUCACAACUCUCUAA